GUCCAAGCGUCUGGGUCGGUUUCUUAGUGGUGUGUCCUGUCUCGUGACUUCCCUAUGCGGCUCCUUGGUGAUUUCUCCAUGGGAGCGUGUCUGUUUUCCCCGCCUCGGGGUGUGGUGGUUCUCGGGCUCGUGUGGGUGUGUGUCUUGAUGCGUGGUCUUUUGUUUGUGGCUGGGUAGUAAUAAGUAAACAAUAACAUUAGCAUUAACAUUCCGGUUUAAGAUCACAACAGGUGAAAACAAAA